rnacentral:rRNA from 1 species
UACGUAGGGUGCAAGCGUUAUCCGGAAUUAUUGGGCGUAAAGAGCUCGUAGGCGGUUUGUCACGUCUGCUGUGAAAACUGGAGGCUCAACCUCCAGCCUGCAGUGGGUACGGGCAGACUAGAGUGCGGUAGGGGAGAUUGGAAUUCCUGGUGUAGCGGUGGAAUGCGCAGAUAUCAGGAGGAACACCGAUGGCGAAGGCAGGUCUCUGGGCCACUACUGACGCUGAGAAGCGAAAGCAUGGGGAGCGAACAGG